UGGAAAUAAAUCAGUAUAUAACAAGAAUCACUCUGCUGUAUCAUACUAAACUGUUUCCAAAGACGCGCAAGAUGAAACAAUUAUUCCACCUUCUUCUCAUCGUGCUCAUCGUAACAACAUGCCUCACUUAUGAGGCUCUAUCUUCUCCCAGUCAAUUUGUAAAGCGUGAAGCGAUGCCUCAUUGUAUGAUGUGGCAAGGAAUGAAGAUUUGUCUUCCUUCCUGAAUACCAGGUGGUGAAUGUCAUUGCUAUCCACAAUUACUUCAAUCACAACAUGAUUUUAUAAAAAUAUACAAUUAAAAAUCUGAAUGCUGCAGAAAUGAUGCGUGUUUUGAUUGACCACUCAAUAAAACACUGAAAUCAAUAACACAUUUUUUUUUAAAUGAACCCUAAUCAAACUAGUAGAAAUCGUAGUCAGCUUUAUUAUAUUUAUUUAUGUCUUUUAUAAAGCUUGUUUUGUAUUUUGAUAUCGAGCGAUAAAAUUGUCAAAAUAAAAAAAAUGCAAAACAGCUUUACAUAACAGGAAAGAAACCCUUGUAUAAACGGGCCAAUUAAAGUAAUUAAGUAAACAAUAUCUAAGCGAGGAAGUUGAACGCUAAAAGUAAUUAACUCUUUUUCAUCAAAGGUCAAAUAUCAAAACAUCAUUCCAGCACAUUGGCAAACAUUUGUCAUAGAACCAAUCGCACAUAAAUAACCACGAAUUGGUUAUUAGGAAAAAAAAAUAUACAAUCGCACUUAACAUCGGGCGACCUUACCUCGUAUAAAUACUCCAAAAAUGAUCUUUGAAGCUUAAAGCCGCAUUCAAAGAACCAUGCGUAUCUCGACAAGUGUAAUAUUUUCCUUUUUCUGUGCGCUUAUCGGAGCGGUAGCAGGACGACAAAUGACAGACUACCCAACGGCAGGAGCUGAGGAUCCUGGAAAUGAGUGUAAUGAUUGGGGCGUCUGUAUCAACCUGCCACAAUGAGCAUACACUUGCUCGUAACGUAGCCACAACUAUUACUACAUUCAAACUCAUUUGAUCGAAAUUUUGCAACAUAUUUGAUGAAAAAUAACAAUCUAGCAAAAAUACAAGCGCAAUACAAGCAUUUUUUUUAUUUCAUCAAUAUACACUGAAAGCGAAACUUGUUUCAAACUUGAAAGAUUUUGCCCAGCCUGAGAGUGUAGAAUACGAUAUCGCGAUAAAAAAAAACUUGUAAGGUUUUUCCAUUCAACAAUUCUAACCUCGUACACAAAAAACUAACACGUACCAAACGAAAUGUAACAAUGCGACCAGCAUUUUAUCGAUGAUUAUUGAUAUGGCCAUGGCCCUUUUUUCUCACUAAGCAAAACGAUAAGCAUACAAGCUGUUUAUUUAUAUAAAUAGUCGCUCCAUCGGUUACAUAACCAUUCGCAUGCUGGUUUGUAGUUUUGUUACAGCAACCAAAUCAAAAAAUCAUGAAGUUCCUUAUGAAAGUGUUCCUGUUCGCACUGCUCGCCCUUGCGGGACUGGUGUCAGCUCAACCUGAAGAGACAAAUGCCCACAUUAAAGACUACUAGAGCCGUUGCCAAAAAUAUAGAAUGAAGGAGGACUGCUGGGUGACUGGUCCUACCACUGCACCAUCGGCCAAAAAGCCUCGCGCUUAAUGAUCGCAUCGGACAAUCGCAAUGGUGAACGAGUUUCGCUUAUUGUAAUUUAAAAUAAAAAGCAUAUGAAGCAGAA